AUACAUUUCUACCACAACACAUACCCGCCCAUACUCAACCCCAAGCUUUCCCCCCAGGUGCUCGAUUGCCUCCAAUGCAGGAUCUGAACAGCCUGUCACAGGAUACUUUGGUGCGUGAUCCCUUAAAUAUGGCUCACCAGAUCAGAAAACCCAGCUGAAACACCUGUUUGCUAGAUCACAACCAAAUGGGGAUUACCACUGAAGGACAAUCUGCAGAGUUCUAGAAAGCGCCCGGCUUCUUCACAACGAAUAAAGACUUACGAUGUGUGCUUCCUUUCACAACUUCCUUCUACCCGAAUCGUGUUCCCUGAAGCAGCCACAUUUUUGGCACAAGUUCAGUUAUAUGCAGUGCCAAAAGAAACAGAAUAAACAAACACUGCUUAAUGCAGCUGGCUAGGAAAUUUACAUAUUACUGCACACCAGCAUGAAGACCUGAAUAUGGAUUAGAGCAACAGUGAUGACACAAAUGUCAUAUAGAUAAAGAGAAACAAAAUGCAGCACAUCAUUACUUACUUUUACUUAUGAUUUACAUUUUACUAUUUUAUAUAUAUGCAUGUAUAUUUAUACAUAAAUAUUGAUGUAAACGUGUACAUUUGUAUUGUAUAUGCAUUUCUGUAUGUGCCUCAUUUUACAAAAAAACACAUUAGAAAUGUUUUACACAGUUUAAAAAAGGGGUACAAUUUUUCAUAUUUCUCCACUAGUAAAGCCAGUCUUCCAUAUCAUAUGUCCAAAUGUACAGACCUCUGAGACAGAGAAACAAAAUAACUAACAUUUUAAAAACUCUAAAGUUUCUUAAAAUUGCUUUUGUAUAUA